CCCUCACCACAGAUUAUGGCGUAUGUCUGGUCGUAAAAGGGAGUUUGGCUCAAUCUUCCUUUGCGCCGCAUACUGCCAGUUCGAUGCACCUCUGGAACCGUACCUCCGGUACAUGGAUGCGGUCCUGCUGCAGCAGGCCGUACCAAAAUCCGCAGCUGGUCUCCAAGGUGAAGAGUCUCUAGUCGAUAGAAUAAUGUAGGUAAGGGAAGUCGGCAAAUUAGAUCCGUAACUUCGGGAUAAGGAUUGGCUCUGAAGAUUGAGAUAGUCGGGCUUGAUUGGGAAACAAUAACAUGGUUUAUGUGCUCGUUCUGGGUAAAUAGAGUUUCUAGCAUUUAUGUUAGUUACUUGUUCCCUGGAUAGUUUAGUUACGUAGCCAAUUGUGGAACUUUCUUGCUAAAAUUUUUAAGAAUACUAUUUGGGUUAAACCAAUUAGCUCUUAUCAAUUAUAACGAUUAUCAAUUAACAAUCAAUUCAGAACUGGCACGGACUUGGGGAAUCCGACUGUCUAAUUAAAACAAAGCAUUGUGAUGGCCCUAGCGGGUGUUGACACAAUGUGAUUUCUGCCCAGUGCUCUGAAUGUCAAAGUGAAGAAAUUCAAGUAAGCGCGGGUCAACGGCGGGAGUAACUAUGACUCUCUGAGGGAUCUGGGGUAAUUGCGAGCAGAGGGGGAGUAUUUUUCUGUAAUUCGUAAGUCAUAUCAUAUGGUGUGGGGAAGGGGAAUUUUACUCUGU
rnacentral:ncRNA from 1 species